GCCAGCAUUCUCCAAUAUGAUUUCCAGGAGCUUCCAGAAUGCUGGCUUGUUAUAGCUGCUGCCCUGCUCUUAGUGACCAGCAUCUCCUUCGAGCAGUCCUCUGUGUCAGGUGGGAAGCCCGGCCGACUUCUGACCACCCUCAGCUCUUGUCAGCCCAGGAGAGGUGGAAGGUCAAGGGAGGGGCAGGGAAGGUGCUGGAGCUGGGCAACUUGGAGGAGAGAAAGCAAGGAGACAGAAGGGGGCAGGUGUCAGUGUAUCGCUGAGUCAUAAAAUGUCAGGGCAGGCGGGAAGUGGAAGGACUGGCCCUCCUCCACUCUCCCUUGCUAGGCAGAUGGAGAACUGAGGCCCAAGAUCCUACAGUGACUUAAGAGACAAAUGGGGUCUCACAUGUGGAUUCCUGAUACCAAAGAACAGCAGACCCCAUAGCUCCAGAGGCCAGAGGAGGACCCUAAGGGAAGGAAGAUCUCGCUAAUUAUUUAAGUUACCCAGCCCAGGGACCUCUGGUUGGAGGGGCACAGGGCUGUGAGUUCUCCAUCGCCAGGGGACUGCAGCCAGCACAGUCACAGUAUGGGGGUGCAGCCCAACCCCGCCGGGGUCGGAGAUUGGUUGCUUUCUUGGCCACAUUUCCUUUUGUGGGUUUGGAACCCAGAUGUGCUCCCCACACGGGAUCUUGGGGUCCCAGAAGGGCCUGUUCUCCCUUCUACGCCCCCCAGAUCUAGCACAGUUCCUCUGGGUGGUUCCAGGGCUCUGCCGCUGCCGCUGCCUGGCCACAAGGCACUCAGGACGUAGGACGCAUCUAGACCUACAGUCAGACACUAACAGAAUUCUCCUGUUGCCCACUGGAGCCCCAAGGCUUGGCACACCAGCCAUUCUGCUCUCGCUGCUGCAGGCAAGGGGCCCUCUGGCCACCCACGACGUCCCUGUGAAUCAUCCUAGAGCAAGGUCAGUGACAGGCCUGGCACUGCUGGGCACUGGGAGCCCCGAGGAUUGUUUCCCACAUGGGUUUUUGUGUUUUUGUUUUUUUUUGAGACAGAGUCUUGCUCUGUCACCCAGGCUGGAGUGCUGUGGUGUAAUCUCAGCUCACUGCAACCUCCGUCUCCUGGGUUCAAGCGUUUCUCAAGCCUCAGCCUCCCGAGUAGCUGGGACCACACAUGUGCGCCAUUGGCUUGGCUAAUUUUUGUAUUUUUAGUAGAGAUGGGGUUUCACCAUCUUGGCCAGGCUGGUCUCCAACUCCUGACCUCAAGUGAUCCACCUGCCUCGGCCUCCCAAAGUAUUGGGAUUACAGGCAUGAGCCACCAUGCCCAGCCUCCCACAUGGGUUUAUCAUCAGUUUACAAUAGCCUCACAAGUAUUGGGGAAAACUGAGGCUCAGAGAAGGAUGGUGACUUGCCUGGGGUUCCCUAGCAUAUCAUUAACAGAGCAGGGUUCGUAACCAGAGCUUCUGCUACCUGUUCAGAGCCUUGCCUUCCAUGUAUAGGCCCAAGGAAGCUCGUGCCUUCCAAGGGUGCAGGGGGCACAGGCUACUUGAGCUCAUGGGAUGCCUUGGGGGCUUGGGUCCAGAAGAUUUUCUUUCAUGAGAAGAGAUUGGAUUCUGCUUGUUCAUGGGAGGCAGGAGAACCUAUUUGUUAAGAGCUCAGGCUCAGGAGUUUACAGUAUGUGGGUAUUUAUCCUGGCUGUACAACUUAUUCCUGUGUAGCCCUCAGAAGGGAACCUAACCUCUCUGUGCCUUGGUUUCUUUACCUGUUGGGGAGGUGGGAGGUUGAGUCCUUUUGGUUGCCAGAUCAGCAGGUCCCUCGGGUUCCCUUGAGUCUGGGGGAUUAUAAUCAGUAAGGGAGACAGGCCCUCACAGGACUCCAGGAGUAGGAUCUGGACCUUGUCCAGGCAUGGACCCUGGAGCUGGAGAGUGGUACUGGGUGUGGGCACUAUGGGGUCAGGACAACAGGGCGUGGUGAAUGGUCCUAUGACACUUCCUGAGCUCUCUCAGCAUCCGCUCCCUUCCCUCACAAACACCCCACAACCACCCCGCAUUUGUUAAGGUUUUUCUUGUCUUCCCAACUUCCGCAAACUCAUUUUUUCCAUUUCCUCAUCUCUCAGCUUCCUGGGCAUGACUUCAGAGUCCAGACAGCUUUGUGGUCACUCUGAAACACACCCUUUCAACUUAGCCUCAACCACUCAAACCCCUGAGGGAGAAACCUGAUUCCAGCCAUGGCAGACUCAUUGAUCUUAGAUUUACCCUACCAUGGUAAACAACCAUAAAUACUGGGCAAAACAGAAUAUCCAACAACAGUUUGUAGGCACUGCACAGCAGCCAAUGCAGGGUUAUGAUCAUUGAAGAAGGAGUGCACAUGAGGUGAGCCUCACUUUUUUUUUUUUUUUUUUUUUUUUUUUUUUUGAGACAGGAUCUCUCUCUGUACCCCAGGCUGGAGUGCAGUAGCACGAUCUUGGCUCACUGCAACCUCUGCUCCUGGAUUUAAGUGAUUCUCCUGACUCAGCCUCCCAAGUAGCUGGGACUACAGGCAUGUGCCACCACGCCCAGCUAAUUUUUGUAUUUUUAGUAGAGACGGGGUUUUGCCAUGUUGGUCAGGCUGGUCUCAAACUCCUGACCUCAGGUGAUCCACCUGCCUCGGCCUCCCAAAGUGCUGGGAUUACAGGCAAGAGCCACCUCACCUGGACAAGCCUCACAUUUAAAUUGCUUUUUCCAUGAAGCCAUUUCCAAAACUCAGGUGCAAGGAAAUGGACCAAGCAGGAAGUCAUAGUCUCAACGGGCCAAGAAAACAAAUACCUGGCCGGACGCGG
ensembl:lncRNA